UACGGAGGAUGCGAGCGUUAUCCGGAUUUAUUGGGUUUAAAGGGUGCGUAGGCGGAUUGAUAAGUCAGUGGUGAAAUUCUACAGCUUAACUGCAGAACUGCCGUUGAUACUGAUAGUCUUGAGUUUGGUUAAGGUAGGCGGAAUGUGUAAUGUAGCGGUGAAAUGCUUAGAUAUUACACAGAACACCAAUUGCGUAGGCAGCUUACUGAGCCGACACUGACGCUGAGGCACGAAAGCGUGGGGAUCAAACAGGAUUA
rnacentral:rRNA from 1 species